rnacentral:rRNA from 1 species
GCAUUUGUUGUAUUUUGGUCAAUAGUGGGAUUUGUUUCAAUAGUAACAGCUUUCAGUAAUGGACUGUUGGCUCUGGAUCGAUGAAAACGCAACGAAAUGCGAUAAGUAGGGGAAUUGCAGAAUUCAGUGAAUCAUCGAAUCUUUGAACGCACAUUGCGCGCCUUGGUAUUCCAUGGGGCAUGCCUGUUCGAGCGUCAUCUACACCCUCAAGCUCUGCUUGGUGUUGGGCGUCUGUCCCGCCUCUGCGCGCGGAUCGCCCCAAAGGCAUUGGCAGCGGUCCACGGCCCCUCUCGCGCAGCACAUUGCGCUUCUCGAGGCGGCCCGGCCCGCAUCCACGAAGCCCACAUUACCGUCUUUGACCUCGGAUCAGGUAGGGAUACCCGCUGAACUUAAGCAUAUCAAUAAGCGGAGAAACCUCC